UAAAAACUUAGGAUAAUCUUAAACCAAGAGCCUUCAAAGUUCAAAAUAAGGGUGCGAUUCCCUUAGUUUUU
rnacentral:tRNA from 1 species